ACCACGGGGAGGUAGAUCUGUAGGCGUACCCCUUUUUCAUUAAAAUAAAAUUAAUUAAUUAGACAUAAAGUAAAAUAAAAUUGAUUUAAAAGGAUUAAAAAUGAAAUUUUAAGUGAAAUUUACCUUUCAAUCCUGUAUUUUCAAUUAGGCAUUAGUUCUUUUAGAAUCUUUGAGCUUAGUUCUCUUUUUUUUCAAUUCUGUUUUUUUUUUCACUUUAAAUGAAUUUUGUUUUUUAGUAGUAAUCUUUCUUUCAACUGUGAAUUGAAAAUAUGAAAUUGUUCAGAAUAAGUAAUCGAUAUAUUGCUACAGAACAUUUUCUUCAUAAAUAUUUCUCCUUUCUUGUUUCGAAUUAUUAGAUAUUUAUAUAAGAGUAAUAAGCCAUACUGUUUAAAAAUACUUAUCUUUUCAGUACAGUCCUUGCUCUUACGGAUGUUCAGUGAAUGGAAUCUAUCAGUAUUACAAUGAAAAGGAUUUCACUAAGUGUGGAACCAAUAAAAUUUGCUACAGUGGCCAAUGCCGUGAUAUCGGUUACACCAGUAUCUGUCAGAAAA